rnacentral:rRNA from 1 species
UUAGUUGGUGGAGUGAUUUGUCUGGUUAAUUCCGUUAACGAACGAGACCUCGACCUGCUAAAUAGUUCGACGAAUUCUUCGGGAUUCGGUUCGUGACUUCUUAGAGGGACUAUCGGUGGGUAGCCGGUGGAAGUUCGAGGCAAUAACAGGU